rnacentral:rRNA from 1 species
GACGAACGCUGGCGGCGUGCUUAACACAUGCAAGUCGUACGGUAAGGCCCUUUCGGGGGUACACGAGUGGCGAACGGGUGAGUAACACGUGAGUAACCUGCCCACAACUUUGGGAUAACGCUAGGAAACUGGUGCUAAUACUGGAUAUGUGCUCCUGCUGCAUGGUGGGGGUUGGAAAGCUCCGGCGGUUGUGGAUGGACUCGCGGCCUAUCAGCUUGUUGGUGGGGUAGUGGCCUACCAAGGCGGCGACGGGUAGCCGGCCUGAGAGGGUGACCGGCCACAUUGGGACUGAGAGACGGCCCAGACUCCGACGGGAGGCAGCAGUGGGGAAUAUUGCACAAUGGGCGCAAGCCGGAUGCAGCAACGCCGCGUGCGGGAGGACGGCCUUCGGGUUGUAAACCGCUUUCAGCAGGGACGAAGCUUUUUGUGACGGUACCUGCAGAAGAAGCACCGGCUAACUACGUG